rfam:Ricinus communis cultivar Hale ctg_1100012356420, whole genome shotgun sequence.
AAACCAUGGUGUGGACAACUCCUUAGUAAAUCCUUGAAACAUUCCCAAUAAUUAUAUAAAGUCUCAUUCUCUUGUUGAAGAAACCCUGCUAUAUCAUUCCUCAACUU